rnacentral:rRNA from 1 species
AUGGAGACCCCUCUAUGUCCAUCAAAGCAGCUGUCGGAUGCACACCCCAUCAAACCAAAAGUAGAGCCUUGCGAGAACUCACUGUCACUAGCUCCAGAUGCUCGUGAAGAUUGUGAGACCACCCCACUCUCCUGCAACCACCACUUCUUCACCAUCAUCCUGUCGCGAACUCAUGUUCAGAAGCCGUUUCAGCUGUGCAUUCCAGGUCGCUUCCACAAGCACCUCCCGGAGGAGCGCACCUCCACCACUCUCAUCUGCCGUGGGAGGUCAUGGGCAAUGCACUACUGCGGCGACUUGAAGACGAAAAAGCUGGAUGCAGAUUGGAUGGACUUCGCUGUCGACAACCGGUUGCAGGUCAAUGAUGCGUGUGUCUUCGAGCUUGUGACUAACACCAGAGAGGAGGUGGUGUUCCAGGUCCAGAUACUACGCGGCGGCCUGCCGAAGGAUAUCACCUCUAAAGGGUACACAGCCGACGAGCCUCUGGUCAUUGUGGGUUAG